rnacentral:rRNA from 1 species
GAUGAACGCUGGCGGCGUGCCUAACACAUGCAAGUCGAGCGAUUCUCUUCGGAGAAGAGCGGCGGACGGGUGAGUAACGCGUGGGUAACCUACCCUGUACACACGGAUAACAUACCGAAAGGUAUGCUAAUACGGGAUGAUAUAUAGAAAUCGCAUGAUUUUUAUAUCAAAGAUUUAUCGGUACAGGAUGGACCCGCGUCUGAUUAGCUUGUUGGCGGGGUAACGGCCCACCAAGGCGACGAUCAGUAGCCGACCUGAGAGGGUGAUCGGCCACAUUGGAACUGAGACACGGUCCAAACUCCUACGGGAGACAGCAGUGGGGAAUAUUGCACAAUGGGCGCAAGCCUGAUGCAGCAACGCCGCGUGAGCGAUGAAGGCCUUCGGGUCGUAAAGCUCUGUCCUCAAGGAAGAUAAUGAC